AAAUUAUAGCCAAUCCAAUUUGAAAGCCAAUAAAACAAAAAAGCCAAAAGCUAGCGUACAUUCUCAACUUCCAUCAUACACCGAUAGAACCCAACUGCACCACCCGCAUGAAUUUUGCGCCAAAGUUCAAUCGCCGGAAACCGUCGCGUUACCUUUUCGACCAAUUCGUCUGCUAGUGGAGUCGGGAUUGUCGUCCAAUUACGUCUUUGCCGACAUCUUAAGUUCGUCUGCCAGUGGAGUCUUGUUCGAUUACCACCACCACGCCCCACCACGCCCCAGCGACGCCACCACGCCAUAGCGACGCAAUUCGUCGGCCAGUAUCCUGGUAUUAAACUAAUCGAACCCAAUUCAUCUCGCCCUCCAAUUUGUUUUGUUAGGGUAGUUGAAAUAUAUAUACUGCAGAUCUAGGUUAAACAUAAUCAAGAAGAGGAGCAAAUGCUGCAGAUCUAGGUUCAACAUAAUCAAGAAGAGGAGUAAAUAAGGAUCAGCACUUGAAUCAGUCUUGCAUAGUAAUGAGAAUACAGAAAUGAGUGUCCUCGUCAACACCAAGAAUCUCAUGACUGUGGAUAUUAUGUGUGCCGAUAUAUGCUCGAGACUGUAGAGAAAAGGCGGCAAGCAAUUCCUGAUAAGUACUUUGGCGGAGUUACAACUGAAUUUUCUCAAAAUAAGCUUGAUGAGCUCAGAGACUUGUGGAUCAAAUAUGUGGAUGAAUAUAAACAAGUGGAUGGAGAAGAAUCCGAAGAUAAUGACCCCAUUUUAAUUAGGAUGUGUGUAUUUUCUUUUUGAGCGGGAUUAGAGAGGUGCUUCUACUUUUGUGUACAUGAAUUGGAAGAAACAGGCCUAGGUGCUGUUCUAUUUUUUUUUUUUUUAACUUAGUUGAAUUUUUGGAAUCUUUUAAACAUUGUAUGUGAUUUUGUAGUGAAUGAUAUUGAAUGAAAAUGUAUUCCAAUUUUAAAGUCAUCUGAAUUAUUUCAAUACAAGUGCCUAAAUUUUCUAUAUAUAUGUAAAUUAGGAGCAAGUGAAACAGAUCGGAGAAGCGCAUGUAUAAUAAUAUUAAAAUAUUUUUAUUGUCGUUUUUUAUAUAUAAAAAAAAAAGUUAAAGAGACCACCUUUUUCUUUUAGGUGGUGUUUAAGAAAUGAUUAAAAAGACCACCUACAUAUUAAAAAUGAUUUCUUUGUAAGAUAAAAAAGACCACCUAUCUGUAAAAUGUGGCGCCUUAUCCUUCUUUUUUUUUCCUAUUUAAAUUCCUAAAUAACCACUUAUUUUAAGGAAGUGGUCUCUUUUAUCAA